GACAGAGGUGGCAAGCGUUGUUCGGAUUUACUGGGCGUAAAGGGCGCGUAGGCGGCGUGACAAGUCACUUGUGAAAUCUCCGGGCUUAACUCGGAACGGUCAAGUGAUACUGUCGUGCUAGAGUGCAGAAGGGGCAAUCGGAAUUCUUGGUGUAGCGGUGAAAUGCGUAGAUAUCAAGAGGAACACCUGAGGUGAAGACGGGUUGCUGGGCUGACACUGACGCUGAGGCGCGAAAGCCAGGGGAGCAAACGGG
rnacentral:rRNA from 1 species